UACGGAGGGGACUAGCGUUGUUCGGAAUUACUGGGCGUAAAGCGCACGUAGGCGGAUUUGUAAGUCAGGGGUGAAAUCCCGGGGCUCAACCUCGGAACUGCCUUUGAUACUGCAAAUCUCGAGUCCGGAAGAGGUGUGUGGAAUUCCUAGUGUAGAGGUGAAAUUCGUAGAUAUUAGGAAGAACACCAGUGGCGAAGGCGGCUCACUGGUCCGGUACUGACGCUGAGGUGCGAAAGCGUGGGGAGCAAACAGG
rnacentral:rRNA from 1 species